GAUGAACGCUAGCUACAGGCUUAACACAUGCAAGUCGCAGGGUAACAUGAGGAAAGCUUGCUUUCCUUGAUGACGACUGGCGCACGGGUGAGUAACGCGUAUCCAACCUUCCCAUAACUACGGGAUAACCCGUUGAAAGACGGCCUAAUACCGUAUGAUAUCGUUUGCUGACAUCAAAUAACGAUUAAAGGUUUAGCGGUUAUGGAUGGGGAUGCGUCUGAUUAGCUUGUUGGCGGGGUAACGGCCCACCAAGGCGACGAUCAGUAGGGGUUCUGAGAGGAAGGUCCCCCACAAUGGAACUGAGACACAGACCAAACUCCUACGGGAGGCAGCAGUAAGGAAUAUUGGUCAAUGGGCGAGAGCCUGAACCAGCCAAGUAGCGUGCAGGACGACGGCCCUAUGGGUUGUAAACUGCUUUUAUGUGGGGAUAAAGUGCGUGACGUGUCAUGCAUUGCAGGUACCAAAUGAAUAAGGACCGGCUAAUUCCGUG
rnacentral:rRNA from 1 species